rnacentral:ribozyme from 1 species
UGACACCAUAAGGUUGCCUUCACGUGGCGGUGUUGAUUUCGACUAAAACCUU